rnacentral:rRNA from 1 species
GAUGAACGCUGGCGGCGUGCCUAAUACAUGCAAGUCGAGCGAACAGACGAGGAGCUUGCUCCUCUGACGUUAGCGGCGGACGGGUGAGUAACACGUGGAUAACCUACCUAUAAGACUGGGAUAACUUCGGGAAACCGGAGCUAAUACCGGAUAAUAUAUUGAACCGCAUGGUUCAAUAGUGAAAGACGGUUUUGCUGUCACUUAUAGAUGGAUCCGCGCCGCAUUAGCUAGUUGGUAAGGUAACGGCUUACCAAGGCAACGAUGCGUAGCCGACCGGAGAGGGUGAUCGGCCACACGGGAACUGAGACACGGUCCAGACUCCUACGGGAGGCAGCAGUAGGGAAUCUGCCGCAAUGGGCGAAAGCCUGACGGAGCAACGCCGCGUGAGUGAUGAAGGUCUUCGGAUCGUAAAACUCUGUUAUUAGGGAAGAACAAAUGUGUAAGUAACUAUGCACGUCUUGACGGUACCUAAUCAGAAAGCCACGGCUAACUACGUG